rnacentral:rRNA from 1 species
CAGUCGCCGCGGGAAUACAGAGGGUGCAAGCGUUAAUCGGAAUUACUGGGCGUAAAGCGCGCGUAGGUGGUUUGUUAAGUUGGAUGUGAAAGCCCCGGGCUCAACCUGGGAACUGCAUCCAAAACUGGCAAGCUAGAGUACGGUAGAGGGUGGUGGAAUUUCCUGUGUAGCGGUGAAAUGCGUAGAUAUAGGAAGGAACACCAGUGGCGAAGGCGACCACCUGGACUGAUACUGACACUGAGGUGCGAAAGCGUGGGGAGCAAACAGGAUUAGAGACCCGCGUAGUCCCUGUCUCUUAUAA